rnacentral:rRNA from 1 species
ACUAACUAGGAUUUCCUUAGUAGCGGCGAGCGAACAGGAACUAGCCCAGCACUGAAUCCCGUGGCCGGUAAACGGUCGCCGGGAAAUGUGGUGUUUGGGAGGGUCCGCAUUCCGGUGGUGAUUGUGAUCGGUCCAAGUCUUUCUUGAACGGGGCCACUUACCCAUAGAGGGUGCCAGGCCCGUGGGACCGUUGCUCGACUGCCGGCGGAUUUCUCCCCCGAGUCGGGUUGCUUGAGAGUGCAGCCCUAAGCAGGUGGUAAACUCCAUCUAAGGCUAAAUAAGACCACGAGACCGAUAGCGAACAAGUACCGUGAGGGAAAGUUGAAAAGCACUUCGGAAGGAGAGUUAAACAGUACGUGAAACUGUUCAGGGGUAAACCUGAGAAACCCGAAAGUUCGAAUGGGGAGAUUCAAUCGUGGCUCUUGUGCGGGGUCGGUCAGGAUGGGAUCGGCAGGCGUUUCGGCGUCUGUUGGCUUUCUUGGCCGGCCGCGGCCGCGCAGGACCGCGUGCACUUCUCCCCGUAAGUAGGACGUCGUGACUCGUUGGGUGCCGAUCUAAGGCCCGGUGUGGAGCCUGCGGUGUUCGUUUCGGCGACGCCGUAGACCACCGGUCGCCCGAUCGGCUCGCUCGACGGUAGAAUGAUGGCGCGGGGCCGCGAAUUGUUCGCGUCCGGCCCGUCGCAAGUGCGGACCGUGUCGAGUGUUCGGACCUAGUGCCGGACCGAAACGCGACCAGCUGCUGGCGGCGGUGUCCUCGGACAGACUCCGUAUACACGCCUGUCUACGACGCUUCUGCUUUGGGUAGUUUCAGGGCCCGUCUUGAAACACGGACCAAGGAGUGUAGCAUGUGCGCAAGUCAUUGGGGCACUUAUACAAGCUCCAACGGCAUAAUGAAAGUGAAGGUCCGUUGCUCUCUCGGGGGCGCGGACCCAGGGAAGAUGGGGUGCGUCACGGCGCAGCCUCGCACUCCCAGGGCGUCUCGUUCUCAUUGCGAGAUGAGGCGCACCUAGAGCGUACACGCUGCGACCCGAAAGGUGGUGAACUAUGCCUGGUCAGGACGAAGUCAGGGGAAACCCUGAUGGAGGUCCGUAGCGAUUCUGACGUGCAAAUCGAUCGUCGGAACUGGGUAUAGCGGCGAAAGACUAAUCGAACCAUCUAGUAGCUGGUUCCCUCCGAAGUUUCCCUCAGGAUAGCUGGCGCUCGUCUAGCGAGUUUCAUCCGGUAAAGCGAAUGAUUAGAGGCAUUGGGGUCGAAACGGCCUCAACCUAUUCUCAAACUUUAAAUGGGUGAGAUCUCCGGCUUGCUUGAUGCUGAAGCCGCGAGAACGAAUCAGAG